CUUUGAUUAAGGCUCAGGAUGAACGCUAGCUACAGGCUUAACACAUGCAAGUCGAGGGGAAACGACAUCGAAAGCUUGCUUUUGAUGGGCGUCGACCGGCGCACGGGUGAGUAACGCGUAUCCAACCUGCCCACCACUUGGGGAUAACCUUGCGAAAGUAAGACUAAUACCCAAUGACGUCUCUAGAAGACAUCUGAAAGAGAUUAAAGAUUUAUCGGUGAUGGAUGGGGAUGCGUCUGAUUAGCUUGUUGGCGGGGUAACGGCCCACCAAGGCAACGAUCAGUAGGGGUUCUGAGAGGAAGGUCCCCCACAUUGGAACUGAGACACGGUCCAAACUCCUACGGGAGGCAGCAGUGAGGAAUAUUGGUCAAUGGACGAGAGUCUGAACCAGCCAAGUAGCGUGCAGGAUGACGGCCCUAUGGGUUGUAAACUGCUUUUAUAAGGGAAUAAAGUGAGUCUCGUGAGACUUUUUGCAUGUACCUUAUGAAUAAGGACCGGCUAAUUCCGUGCCAGCAGCCGCGGUAAUACGGAAGGUCCGGGCGUUAUCCGGAUUUAUUGGGUUUAAAGGGACCGUAGGCCGGAGAUUAAGCGUGUUGUGAAAUGUAGACGCUCAACGUCUGCACUGCAGCGCGAACUGGUUUCCUUGAGUACGCACAAAGUGGGCGGAAUUCGUGGUGUAGCGGUGAAAUGCUUAGAUAUCACGAAGAACUCCGAUUGCGAAGGCAGCUCACUGGAGCGCAACUGACGCUGAAGCUCGAAAGUGCGGGUAUCGAACAGGAUUAGAUACCCUGGUAGUCCGCACGGUAAACGAUGGAUGCCCGCUGUUGGUCUGAAUAGGUCAGCGGCCAAGCGAAAGCAUUAAGCAUCCCACCUGGGGAGUACGCCGGCAACGGUGCAACUCAAAUGAAUUGACGG
rnacentral:rRNA from 1 species